CUACGGGGGGCACCAGUGGGGAAUAUUGCACAAUGGGCGCAAGCCUGAUGCAGCCAUGCCGCGUGUAUGAAGAAGGCCUUCGGGUUGUAAAGUACUUUCAGCGGGGAGGAAGGGAGUAAAGUUAAUACCUUUGCUCAUUGACGUUACCCGCAGAAGAAGCACCGGCUAACUCCGUGCCAGCAGCCGCGGUAAUACGGAGGGGGCAAGCGGUACUCGGAAUUACUGGGCGUAAAGCGCACGCAGGCGGUUUGUUAAGUCAGAUGUGAAAUCCCCGGGCUCAACCUGGGAACUGCAUCUGAUACUGGCAAGCUUGAGUCUCGUAGAGGGGGGUAGAAUUCCAGGUGUAGCGGUGAAAUGCGUAGAGAUCUGGAGGAAUACCGGUGGCGAAGGCGGCCCCCUGGACGAAGACUGACGCUCAGGUGCGAAAGCGUGGGGAGCAAACAGGAUUAGAUACCCCAGUAGUC
rnacentral:rRNA from 1 species